UUCUACGCAUCUUUAAUUGUAACGAAUGUCCCGAAUGUCCCUCAGAGAAUUAUGUGUACAAAGAACUACAUGUGUGUGUACGUGUGGUGGUAAUAGAUUAGCAAACACCAGGUUCAAAGUGUAUUUUGGGUACUCUAAAGCAUAUAUUCAAUCUGAUGAUGAAAUUAUUGAUACUCCUACUAUAUGAUUUGGUAACAUUUUACUGAAAACCAGGAGGAAAAAACAACAAAUUCAGAAAUGAUUUUCUGAAAUUUGUAUACGGUCGAAAUUGGAGAGCUCGAUAUCAAAGACUUGAUCAUACCCCGAGCUCGAGUUCAAGAAGCUCGAAUUAAGAAUCGAGCCUGACCGAGAUGUGCGCACCUUGAGAAGCAAAUUGGAGACUCGUCAUGAUCUCCCUCGAGGGAAGUACAAUUUUGAUGACACUCAAGAAAGGGCAGAAAUUUCUCAAGAAUACGUGGAUCAGGGCAUAAAUUAUGGUAUAAGAUUUGUACGAAAUAGUACGAGUCCGUACUAGGUUGUUAUACAGUUGUACCAAUAGAAUUCUUUACCAUAAUAGUAAAUGUACCAUAUUAGAGUUUUCCCCUCCUGGAUAAAGGGGACCCCAAUCAUGUGUAAAGUGUAAAGUGUUAGAAAGAGUCAUGCGUAUUGUUAUAGUAUUCUUUAUGAAUAAUUAUUUAUUUACUUGUUUAAAUUCAAUAAAGUUUCAUUUUAAAUAGAUCAUGUGUUGGUUUGUGCGUCCAUUGCUUACAUAGUAGAUGAUUUAGUGUAUAGAGUUUAGCUUAUACACGGAAGAUUAAAUCAUCGGUUCUUGUAAGACAUAAAAGUUAAUGUUCACAAUCUAAUGAUGGAAUUGGACAAAUCAUCGAAAUGAUUGUAGCACAAGAUUAAAUAUAAUUUAUCUUGAUUAUGGGAAUGGUUUAAUUCCAACUUCCUAUGCUAGUACAUUUUGUAUGUAUUGAACGGAUCAAGUAGAGAUGAGUAUUUUAUACUGACUUUAUAAAAUAAUUUCUCUAAUCCAUUUAAUGUACUUAUACUCUUAAUCCUGAUAUAAUUAUUAUUAGUUGUGUAUGUCACUUGUUGUUUUGAUUUAUUAAAAGGCGAGAUUCUUUCGCGAGUCAAUAAGCCUGGUAAAUUGGAUAACAGUGAUAUACAUUGGCGAAGUAAUAAUUAGUUGAUGGAAUCCAUGUCUCGAUUUUGAGAUUGAUGAUACUCCUUUAUGAAAGCUUAUAAGUUUUCAUGUGUAAACCCGGCUGGUGGAUUUUAUAUCCGACACAUGAAAUAAGUUAAGUGUAAGUCUAAAGGAAGUAAUCAAUAAAUUAAAUAGUCAGUAAUUUAAUUUGUUUGAUUAGUAUCUGAAUCUUAACAUGGGGAGUUAAAUAAGGUUUUAUGGAAGAAUUUCGAAAUUGAACUAAGGAGUGCAAUUACGAAUUUUUAGUGAAAUAAUUCAUAAUUUAUUAUGAUGGAAAUUAGUUUCAGAAUUUCGAAAUUAAUAUCAUAAUAGGAAGCCUUGUUAAUUAAAUUCUGUGGCCCCUACUGUGCCUAAAUAAUAGAAAAUAGUGGAAACUGUUACUUGGUGAGAAAGAAAACGUGGAAACCGCCCCUUAGUGGGAGAAGGAAACCUAACAGGUUUUGAAAACGGUUUUGACCUAAAAAACGCAGCUAUAUAUAUGGAUAUAAGGNNNNNNNNNNNNNNNNNNNNNNNNNNNNNNNNNNNNNNNNNNNNNNNNNNNNNNNNNNNNNNNNNNNNNNNNNNNNNNNNNNNNNNNNNNNNNNNNNNNNNNNNNNNNNNNNNNNNNNNNNNNNNNNNNNNNNNNNNNNNNNNNNNNNNNNNNNNNNNNNNNNNNNNNNNNNNNNNNNNNNNNNNNNNNNNNNNNNNNNNNNNNNNNNNNNNNNNNNNNNNNNNNNNNNNNNNNNNNNNNNNNNNNNNNNNNNNNNNNNNNNNNNNNNNNNNNNNNNNNNNNNNNNNNNNNNGACAUAGAUUUGUUGUGUUUACGCUUCAAGAGGUAAUCCUAAAAUCUCCAUACGUGCUAGUUGUUUAGAUUACACGUGAAUAAGAUUCUGUUAUUGCUUCCGCUGUGGUAUAUAUUCCUACAUAAAGAUCAUCUCAUUCUCUGCAAAAAGGAACAUUCUACCUUGCUUUCCUCAUUUACUGUGCUCCACAACUGUUCUUCAGCUUUAUUGCUAUUAUUUUAUUGUUCAUACUUAUUUGCUCUAGACCCACCUUGAGGCCCCUGAGAUUAUCGAGCUCGAGGUCCCCAUUGCUUUGGUAAUAUUGGUUUAGUUCACCAAUUCUUUUUACUUACACUUAGUAUUACUUGCUUAUUUGAUAGUAUUGAAAUAAAUCACAUAUCUUUAAAACCACAAAUCAUAUUUAAUUAUUACUCUUAAUUUUUAGGGUAAACAGUUUGGCUGUAUUAGUGAUUAUUUUAGUGCUAGUUUUUCUGAUAACACACGUUAUUAUUCACACUUUUUCUUGUCAAAGAUUCUUUGAUUUCAGGCUAAGAUAUGUCUAACUCAACAAACGCACCCAUGCAUGAAAACGACGGUCUCGAAUCCCUUGGAGAAAACAAUGCAGUAGCUUCAAGGACCGGUGUGCCACCGCUAAACCCUGGGGUAGCACCAGCGCCUAACCCCGUCGAUGUUGGUUCACACAUUACCUUGAACGUCGAUUUGGUCACGGAUGUCGAAUGAAGUGUACGCGGAGGGGAUCAACCUGACGCUCAAAGGACACAGGCUCAAGGAGAAAGAGAAGUCAGUCCACAAGUGAUUUUUGAGAUGUUGCAAGCACAACAAGUUGUUAUCGCCCAGUUACAAAGUCAGCAAAAGACUCUGAGCGUGGCUGGGCCAGAAACUGCUCAUCGUGUUAAGACAACCCACCUCACACCCCCACACCCACCCACCCAACCCUAUCCCACGCCUUUCCACCCCAUCCCACUGCACAUACCAAUUACCUCCAUGUUGGAUGUAGUAGUAAGAAAUAUCAGCCAUUAGUGUUGAAAUAUAUAUAUAUAUAUAUAUUUCUUGGAGAAGCUCCAAAUGUAAUUGGAGUAUAUAUAAAAUGUUUUUUCAUUCUUUUUCUCCAGAUGAAACUCCUUAUACAAGAAAAGAUGCAUACAAGAACAAUCUUGUGUCAACAUAGGUACACAAGAUAUGCAUGUCUCAAGGACAAGAAAUAAGCAAAAUGGUAUGGAGAAAUUAAGCUCUUGAUCGAUAAAAAGGAGUGAGAAUUGAAAGAAUGAAAAAAUGAGAUCUUUAAAAUAAGAAAAAACAAUUAUUCUUUGAGCUAAGUUUGCAGAGAUCUAAAGCUUGAAUCAUUUCCAUACGUAACUCAAAUUAAUUUGCCAUAAUGAACAGAGAGAAAAACAUUUCACGCACUGCAAAAAAUAAUGCAUGGAAGAAAGUGAAACUAAAGGAAAUUUUCAUUAUUUUUCUUACUAAAUAUUCCUCUUUUUUAUGCUAUGUAAAAAACCAACAUAAACAGACCUGAUUGGCUUCAAUGGAAAAUAUUGCUAUUUUCCGGCGACUUCAAAACCUUUCGGAAAGCUCUCACAAAUUCCAAUAAUUAAGACUUUGUUAUAGUCUUGGAAUUACAACACUAGUAAUACUCAGGAAAAAACCCCAAUAUUUUUAUGCCUUUCUUUCUUUGUAUAUGCCUACCCUAAGUUUUAACUAUCACUUAAAAUUAAAGUGAAGAAAUAGCUGGCCAAGAAAAUGACAUUGAAAUGGCUUUUUUCCAGAUAUAAACCAGACGUGGUGUUGUGGUUUUGGUUUAUUGCAGACCAAAAUUUCACCAAAAAUUGCAAAGCGUGUUACUUGGUUUCAACUUUACUAAUAUACCCCUUUUUCUUUUUAAUUUACAUCUUCUAAUUAGUUUCUUUUUUUAAUUAAACAAACAACACUCAGCUGAUUCAAAUUAAAUAUCGUAGAGUAAUUUACCUGAUAUAUAUAUUGGUAUUAGAAACUUUCUGCUGGUAGCUAGAAAAAUCGAGAACUACAAGUAUUCUUUAUUUUUAUUUUAAUUCUGCAUAAUGUAUUCAUGUUGGUCUGAAUUUAAUUUAAUUUAAUGAAAAUUAUGAUAAGUGAAAAUUCAUAUAACCGACUAUAACUUAUAAUUCGAGACUGCGACAUAAUUAUUCGCUCUUGUUGUAAUUUAACCUAUUGGUAUAAAAAACUUAUACUAUAGAAGUGAAAAUUAGGGUUUUUCUUAUGCUCCAUGUACAAGUCUGCAAGUCUAUGCUUAAGCCAGCAUGAAGCAUUCUCUCUUACAACAUCAUUUUGGGAGGAAUUAGUUUUGUUUUGUACAAAAAUCCCACAUUUUUUAUAUAUAUUCUUUCGUGAGUUUUAGGGAGAAUCAUAGUUUAGUGCGCUUUCCCAAUCAAAUGGUUGGCAUAUAAACGAAAAAUAAAAUAAUGAAUAAAUAAUAAUAAACAUAGGGCAUAUUUGAUUUCAUAGUUGUCCUUAUUAAUCACAAAACUUUGUCAAACUAAAUAUAUGAAUAAAUAUAACUUUUAUGAUAGGGGCAAAAUGAGCAAUUUAAUAGUCCCUCUCAAUUUAUGUGAUACUUUUAUUUUUAGUUACUUUUGAAUAUUUACAAAUAAUAUACUUUUAGGCUUUCUUAUCCUAAAAUAAUUUAUUGCCACACAAAUAUUUAUAGCUUGUUUAGAUCACAAAUUAUAAAAAAGAAAUUCUUAAACUUUAUGCCCAAUCAAACUACAAAUAAAUUGGAAUGGAAGGAGUAUACCUCUUACUAAACUGAUGUAUCUACUGUGAAAUUUUUUCACUAUCUAAUCUAAAUUUACUCUCCCUUUUACAGUAAAAAUAUUUACGCAAUUUAAUUCUCGCGAAUGUAAACCUUGGUUUCUUUUUUAUCGUAAGAAAAUUUCCUAUGUAAUAAACUAAUCUUUAACAAAACAAAGUUAGGGUUCAACUUUCCUUAACUAUUCUUUGUUCCCCAUUCAAGAAUUCUCAUUCCCACUUUUAUCAAAAUUCAACAAGAUAUAUAUUGCCCUCAAAUAAUUUUUAUAGUUCAUCGUCCCUCGAUUUGUUUUUUUGUUUCCCACCCAGUGUCCGGUAUCCACAUUGGGGCCCGACUAAAUCCAGAUUCGCGCCGGAAAGUCCCACAUUGGGGGUAAAGCGCUCCCUACAAAGGCGACUCUAACCUCAGGGGUUCAAACUCGAGACCGAUCUGGUUAAGAAUGAAGGAGUACUUACCACUCCACCACAACCCUUGUUGGUUCCCUCGAUUUGUUUAACGAGAAAGACUUAUCUAAUUGACGAACUAAUUAACAACACACACAAAAAAAAAAGGACGUCACUUCUCUCAAAAAUAAAAAUUAAAAAUAAAAUGUUAAAGCUAGCCGAUUAAUUCAUGAGUUAUACUACAGACAAAUAACAACAAUAACAAACCCAGUAAGUUAUACUACAGAAUUGUGAAAUAUUUAUUCAAAGAAGUGUAUCUGCUGGUCAAAUGAGAAUGAAAACAUGUGUGCUUAGAACUUUGAAGUAAAGGUAAGUUUAAAUGUUGAAAAAGAUAAAUACCAAUAUACACAAAAGGCAAAAGAAAUUGAAUUUAAAUUUUAUAUACUAUUUUAGAGCAAGCAAUGGAGAGGAAGGCUUGAGGUGAGAUAGACACGCUUCUUGCAACAAAAAAGGAAAGAAAAAAAAAAGAGUGACUAAUUGUCUUGUAUGAAGCCUACGGAACUGAAAGAAAGAUCUUUUCAUGGAUUUUCUCUCAUUAUUUCAUUCUUUUGGUUUUCCACCCGCUGAUUGGUACUCGCAACAGAUUCAACUAAUUCAGAUUCGCGUUAGUUCCACAUUUGAGGAUAAAACACUCAUUAAUAAAGGCAAUAUCAUACCCAGAGUUAAAACCCGAGACAUCUGAUUAAAGAUAAAGGAGUAUCACUCUACCACAACCCUUGUUGGUCAUUUAUUUCAUUUCAUUCUCUUCAUUCUUAAUUUCUUGGACUCUCACCACGUUUUAGGACGUUGAACAAAAAUAAAAUAAAGAGAAAUAACAUCAUAUUGAGCAUGUUUCUAUCUUGUGCAUACCUCAUUCCUCAUAUUUUUUUUAACCAAAGAAAAGAAAAAGAUGAAAAUUAAUAAUUUGUACCAAAUCAAACUUUACUAAAUUUAUAAUAAAAAUGAGAAUACUUAUAUGCAUUUACCUUUCUUCUUAUUCAAAUUAAAGAUAAUAUUAUUAAUGCUAAUAAUAUACACACAUUGCACAUAGUAAAAAGGACAAGUCUAGUGAACUUAGCCCCUUUGUUNGAAUGUUGAUCUUUCUAAUUUUCAUAGAAAAUUGAACAUAUCAAACGCGCAGACAGAUCAUUAGUACGUUAAUUAUAUGCAUCAUUUAUUCUGUUAUUGAUAUUUAUAAAUUGUAAAUUUAAAAUAUAAAUUAUUCAAUGCUAAAAUAUAAAUUGGGAAACUGAAUAAUAUGACCUCAUCCAACUUAAUUAGGUUUUUCUUAAAUAUAUAUGAUGAGUAUAGUAUCAUAAAUUUUUGCUGUUAUUCAAAUAAUAGGAUGGAUUACGUGAGUAUAAAUUUCUCAAACAAAUUAAAACGUUACUCACACCCAAUCUAAAUAUAACCUAUAGCUAGAUUCAAUUCACGUGCCAUUUUUGGCUCGACUUAAUUUGGACCACUUGAAGUCUUAUUUUACGUUAUAAAAAAAAGCUAAUUUUUCCCUUUUUGGUUACUUAGCAGCUGGUCAGAUAAUAGGUUUAGAAAUUCUGGAUUUUGUCCAUUUAUAGAAUGGUGAUAUUCAUAUUUAUGAUACUCUUCUGUGAUUGAAGUCUUCUUUAUUUAUAGAUGGUCCUCUAUCCAAUUUUCAUUCUAAUUAAUUCUAUCGUCUUUCACUAGAAUUUCUUAAGUUUUGCAUAAUUAUUGUAGUCAUAAUUUGGUGACAAGUGAGGCUUAUAGCUAGAAAUAUCUCAUGAUCAUCGCAUAAAUGUAAAAGAUGAGUGAAAAUAAAAAAUUAUUAAUAACCAAUAUUAAUAUUUAAUAACAUGACAGGAAUGCAAUCUCUAGUAUUUCUUUGUGGGAGCUAAGAAAAAUUACUAAUUAUCUAUGAAUCUCUUACCCAGAAUAAGCAAAAAACUGGGGGUGAAUUAUUCAAAUUGUUGCUUAAAGAGGCAAAAGCCAACAAACUGCAUGACCAGUUUAGCUUAAUAUGGGAAUGAUCAAAUCAUGGUGUAAGAAUAUACUAUAAGCCAUGCGUAUUGUUAUAGUAUUCUUUAUGAACAAUUAUU
rnacentral:lncRNA from 1 species